rnacentral:rRNA from 1 species
UGCCUCUUGAAAAAAAAUAAGAGGUACCUCCUGCCCAGUGAAAACUUUCAACGGCCGCGGUAUCCUAACCGUGCAAAGGUAGCAUAAUCACUUGCCUAUUAAUUGUAGGCUAGAAUGAAAGGAUAAACGAAAUAAGUUCUGUCUCAACUAGUUUUAUAAAAAUUAUACUUUAGAUGAAGAUAUCUAAAUAAAAACGUAGGACAAGAAGACCCUAUAGAGCUUUAUUUCCGUUAAAGAGUGAAACACUUUAAUUGAAAUUCGGUUGGGGCGACCGAGGAAAUAAUAAACAUCCUCUAUUUAAAGAUAUAUAAAUCUAAUUUAAGACCCUUUAUUAAAGAUCUUAAGAAUAAGCUACCUUAGGGAUAACAGGCUAAUCUCACUAAAGAGUCCUUAUCUAUAGUGUGGGUUGGCACCUCGAUGUUGGCUUAGGAUAUCAAUAUGGCGCAAAAGGCAUAUAAGGAUGGUUUGUUCAACCAAUAAUUUCCU